AUGAACGCUGGCGGCAGGCCAAAAACAUGCAAGUCGAACGCCCUAGCAAUAGGGAAUGGCGCACGGGUGAGUAACAUGUGGGAAUAUGCCUUUUGGUACGGAACAACGUUUGGAAACGAACGCUAAUACCGUAUGGUCCCUCCGGGGUAAAGAUUUAUCGCCAAAAGAUUAGCCCGCACUAGAUUAGCUAGUUGGUAAGGUAAUGGCUUACCAAGGCGACGAUCUAUAGCUGUUCUGAGAGGAAGAUCAGCCACACUGGGACUGAGACACGGCCCAGACUCCUACGGGAGGCAGCAGUAGGGAAUCUUGCGCAAUGGGCGAAAGCCUGACGCAGCCAUGCCGCGUGAAUGAUGAAGGUCUUAGGAUUGUAAAAUUCUUUCACCGGGGAAGAUAAUGACGGUACCCGGAGAAGAAGCCCCGGCUAACUUCGUGCCAGCCGCCGCAGUAACAC
rnacentral:rRNA from 1 species